rnacentral:rRNA from 1 species
AGAGUUUGAUCAUGGCUCAGAGCGAACGCUGGCGGCAUGCCUAACACAUGCAAGUCGAGCGCCGUAGCAAUACGGAGCGGCGGACGGGUGAGUAACGCGUAGGAACGUAUCCUGAGGUGGGGGAUAACCCUGGGAAACUAGGGCUAAUACCGCAUGAUGACUCGCGAGGGUCCAAAGAUUUAUCGCCUUGGGAGCGGCCUGCGUCCGAUUAGCUAGUUGGUGAGGUGACGGCUCACCAAGGCUCUGAUCGGUAGCUGGUCUGAGAGGAUGAUCAGCCACACUGGGACUGAGACACGGCCCAGACUCCUACGGGAGGCAGCAGUGGGGAAUAUUGGACAAUGGGCGCAAGCCUGAUCCAGCAAUGCCGCGUGGAUGAAGAAGGUCUUCGGAUUGUAAAGUCCUUUCGGCGGGGACGAUGAUGACUGUACCCGCAGAAGAAGCCCCGGCUAACUUCGUGCCAGCAGCCGCGGUAAUAC